CUUGAUUAGUGGCGCACGGGUGAGUAAUGCAUAGAUAAUGUGCCCCUUAGUUCGGGAUAGCCACUGGAAACGGUGAUUAAUACCGGAUACUCCUUCUUGUUAUAAGACAAGUCGGGAAAGUUUUUCGCUAAGGGAUCAGUCUAUGUUCCAUCAGCUUGUUGGUGAGGUAAUGGCUCACCAAGGCUAUGACGGAUAUCUGGUUUGAGAGGAUGAUCAGACACACUGGAACUGAGACACGGUCCAGACUCCUACGGGAGGCAGCAGUGAGGAAUAUUGCACAAUGGAGGAAACUCUGAUGCAGCAACGCCGCGUGGAGGAUGACGCAUUCCGGUGUGUAAACUCCUUUUAUUAGGGAAGAUAAUGACGGUACCUAAUGAAUAAGCACCGGCUAACUCCGUGCCAGCAGCCGCGGUAAUACGGAGGGUGCAAGCGUUACUCGGAAUCACUGGGCGUAAAGGGUGCGUAGGCUGGCUUUUAAGUCAGAUGUGAAAUCCAAUGGCUCAACCAUUGAACUGCAUUUGAAACUGAAAGCCUAGAGUUCAGAAGGGGCAGAUGGAAUUAGUGGUGUAGGGGUAAAAUCCGUAGAUAUCACUAGGAAUAUCAAAAGCGAAGGCGAUCUGCUGGGAUGAUACUGACG
rnacentral:rRNA from 1 species